GGGGAAUAUUGCACAAUGGGCGAAAGCCUGAUGCAGCAACGCCGCGUGAGUGAUGAAGGUCUUCGGAUUGUAAAGCUCUGUCUUUUGGGACGAUAAUGACGGUACCAAAGGAGGAAGCCACGGCUAACUACGUGCCAGCAGCCGCGGUAAUACGUAGGUGGCGAGCGUUGUCCGGAUUUACUGGGCGUAAAGGGUGCGUAGGCGGAUGUUUAAGUGAGAUGUGAAAUACCCGGGCUUAACUUGGGUGCUGCAUUUCAAACUGGAUAUCUAGAGUGCAGGAGAGGAGAAUGGAAUUCCUAGUGUAGCGGUGAAAUGCGUAGAGAUUAGGAAGAACACCAGUGGCGAAGGCGAUUCUCUGGACUGUAACUGACGCUGAGGCACGAAAGCGUGGGUAGCAAACAGGAUUAGAUACCCUGGUAGUCCACGCCGUAAACGAUGAGUACUAGGCGUAGGAGGUAUCGACCCCUUCUGUGCCGCAGUAAACACAUUAGGUACUCCGCCUGGGAAGUACGAUCGCAAGAUUAAAACUCUAAAGUGAAUUGAC
rnacentral:rRNA from 1 species